UGCUGCCAGGGGGCUGGGAGGACAGUUGAGACCUUGCAGCUUCUGUGGGCUUUGUCUCCCACCAGGACACUAUGGCAGGGGGCCCCCCAAACAUAGGGGUGAGAUCCUGGACAGCCAUUACCACAGGGUGAGACUGCCUGUAGCCUGGAGGAACCGCGAGCCUGCAGACCGGCCAAUGUCAAAUACUGACUUUAUCGUGCGUAAGAACCAACCGGGGCAGCCAGUGUUUUCAAACAGAUCACGGCUCACUCCUGGGUCAUGCAAUCAGUUUAGCGGGUCAUGGCCAGAAGUUUUAAAACGUGAUGUAGAAGAGAAACUCAGAUAUGCAGUAUCGUCAAAGACCCCCCUGCUGCUGGUUGCAUGUGGACAAGAGCGGAGGAGAGACCCUUCGGGACAAGCCUGAGGCCCAUCUACAGGAGAGAUGCUAAGGGCCCAAACCUCAGCGGUGCUCACCGGAACAGAGAGAAGUUCUAGGCAAGAUCAGGAAAGCCAGCGCCGGCUGGAGGCCUGACCAAGAAGAGGACAGGCUCCCCGUCGCCGGCUGGGUGAGUAGGAGGACGAUGGCGCCAUCACCCGAGCUGGGGGACAGCGGGGAGAUGCCGAUUUGGCUCUCAGCGGAAGCAGACCAGGUGCAGAAAAUGAGCUAAGGGCCGGACGCUCUGAUCAGGGGGGCCUGCGGAACCUGACGGGGGUUAGCCUGAGACGUGAGCCACCUGCCCUAAGCUAAGCCAUCGGACACUGUCCCCGGGAUCGCGGCUGCGGGCAGAGGCACGCAGGACCGUUCACUCUGCAGGGCCGCCCCGGACAGAGUCGCGUUCCUGCUCUGGAGGGCCCUUUCAGAGGGCUGGUCCUGCGGUUUCCGGCUAAAUCAGUGAGCUCCCUGUCCCUGUCCUUUUUGGUUAGGCUAGCCAAAGCCGUUUUCGGUCGCUUACCACCAAAGAGCGCUCUGACUGAUAAAUGGCACCCACUCUGCGGGUCUCCCAAUGUCCGCGGCAUUCAGGCGCCACCGUCUCAAAGGCGUUGCAAACUGCGAAGUCCCGAUCAGAUGUAAAGAACAUCUCCCUGAGCCCUUCGUCUCCACUGGUGUCAGGCUGCCCCCCGUCCCUCCACCUGCUGGGAACCUGGGGCUCAGCUUGGCGCUAGGGCAAGCAGGAAAGGUUGGAGAGGAGAUUCGGAAUGGUCCCGAACCGCCCCCACGCAGAGCGAUCCACCGGAACCGUCUGCAUUCCGAGCUACCACCGCCCUUUACAGACGGGACAGAGAGGCUGUGACGGUCAGGAGAAAGGGGGAGGAGGGGGACCAGGCACAGGGACGGAAGCUGCCACCUCGGCCGAGUAGAGUCAGGGCUCAUAAACAGGUACCGGGGGUCUUUUCUCAGAGCCCUCUCCGGCCCCGCCGGGGACUGUGUUAAUUGGCUCCUCUGUGCUCCCACCGCCCCUGGGCUUCCCGAGGGUCCUGGCUUUACUGUCUCCUCCAGGCAAGCACAGUGUAUUCACUGUGUCCUCCAUA